AACGAACGCUGGCGGCAUGCCUAACACAUGCAAGUCGAACGAGACCUUCGGGUCUAGUGGCGCACGGGUGCGUAACGCGUGGGAACCUGCCCUUAGGUUCGGAAUAACUCCCCGAAAGGGGUGCUAAUACCGGAUAAUGUCUUCGGACCAAAGAUUAGUGCCUUUGGAUGGGGCCGGGGUGGAUUAGGUAGUUGGUAGGGUAAAAGCCUACCAAGGGGACGAUUCAUAGCUGGGCUGAGAGGAUGAUCAGCCACACUGGGACUGAGACACGGCCCAGACUCCUACGGGAGGCAGCAGUGGGGAAUAUUGGACAAUGGGCGAAAGCCUGAUCCAGCAAUGCCGCGUGAGUGAUGAAGGCCUUAGGGUUGUAAAGCUCUUUUACCCGGGAUGAUAAUGACAGUACCGGGAGAAUAAGCUCCGGCUAACUCCGUG
rnacentral:rRNA from 1 species